UACGUAGGGGGCUAGCGUUGUCCGGAAUCAUUGGGCGUAAAGCGCGUGUAGGCGGUCCGGUAAGUCCGCUGUGAAAGUCGGGGGCUCAACCCUCGAAUGCCGGUGGAUACUGUCGGGCUAGAAUGCGGAAGAGGCGAGUGGAAUUCCUGGUGUAGCGGUGAAAUGCGCAGAUAUCAGGAAGAACACCCGUGGCGAAGGCGGUUCUCUGGGACGGUACUGACGCUGAGACGCGAAAGCGUGGGGAGCGAACAGG
rnacentral:rRNA from 1 species